AUCCCUGUAGCUCAGUUGGUAGAGCAUGGUGUUUGCAACACCAGGGUUGUGGGUUCGUUUCCCACGGGGGGCC
rnacentral:tRNA from 1 species